GACACAAAUAUAAUGACCGGUAAUAAUCAUUCAUUUUGUACCGCCAAUUCUAUUUUUCUUUCAGGUCUCUAAACUUCGCUUCAAAGAUUUCAAUAUCACUGAUUUCUUUCCACCAAUUUUGGGGUUAGUAGGGUGGUGGCCGUAGAGGCGGUGGUGGUGGUGCAACUGCGAAUGGCAGCGAUCGACGGCUUCUAGUUGUAUCGGAUACCCUCAAAUUUUCGUCAUAAGAGGGUUAAUUUGUUCUCCAUAACCACCACCGCCCACCUCUCAGCUUUCAAAUUCGUUCCUCUUUCUAAUAACUAGAUAUAAUUAACUAAGCUACGUACAAGCCUAGCUACAAAAUUUUGAAACUCGAAAUCAUGUCUACUUUUAUGAAGAGGAUGCACUCAAAGGUUUUUGUGCAUUUACCGAAAUUCAGGGUUAUAAUUUGUCACUCUCGGUUUGGCUCCAGGAUUUCUGUAUUCUACAUUAUUGUGAAGAAACAGUAAUUGAGAUGAAGAAAGAUUCAUGCGUCGUCCUUUAUAGAUCAAUUAAAGAAUGUUCAUAGUUACGUUGCUCUCAAGUCUUAAGCAUAUAAUAAUUAAAUUUAUUUACUAA